rnacentral:lncRNA from 1 species
UGUAGAUACCAUACAACUAUUUACUCUCUCUCAUUUUAACUUACAGUUGGAGGAGACACAUUGUGUCAUGGCAGCCAGUCACAUUCAAUCUGCCGUCAGGACGCUGAGGUAGAUGAAAUCUUCUACUUGGUUUCCUUUCUUUUUACUCUGCCAGGACCCGGCUUGCAGAAUGGCACCAUUCACAUUUAGGGUAAAUCCUCACAGCUAAGUGAUCAAACCUAGAAAUGUCCUCACAAGCAUGCCCAGAGGUAUUCUGAGGUGAUCCUGGAUCGUGUUGAGUUGACAAGAUUAAUCGUCACCCUGGUCAUCGCUACUCCAAGAGAGAGGGACAGC